AAACCUCUAUGAAUGAAGAACCGGCAAAAACUUCAACAUCGAAUACAUCAUAGAAGAUGCACAUGAACUCCAUUUUCAAUGAACUCGAGUUUGUCAUAAAGAUGACCAUAAGACCUAAAACUCACAAAGAGAACCACCAAAUAAGAACCAAUAAAGGCGAUGCAAGGAUGCAAAUGGUUUGAGCUCUCAACGAAUGAUACGAUCAAGCUAGUCACUUGAGAGCCCCCAUUGACAGUACGACAAUCUAUCCUAAAAUAGAAAACCUAUCAAGGACAAACCUAUACCUUGCACAUAGUCCGCUUGAGCUAGAUGAUGACGAUCUUGACUUCCUCAAGAUGGACCACCUUUCUUGAUUGCGCUGGCUCAAUGAAGACUUGUAAAUUUCUCCCCCACAAUCCACUAUGGGUGAGCCACUUUUUAGCACAUCUUCACAAGUCCAUUGUCACCACAAUGGAUGACAAGCUUCAAGCAUGAUAUCUUCGUGAUGCUCCACUUGAACUUUCACACCGCAAUCUUGAUGACGAUCACCACUUGAUGUCCUCCUUCAUGGGUUGAAUGAGAUCUUCCUCUUGACGCAAGUCCAUGAAAACAGACUAACCCCACAUAGAACU
rnacentral:lncRNA from 1 species